AGCCUUUAGCAACACAAGUAUUAAAGGUCCCGCCUGCCCAGUGAGAUAUUCAACGGCCGCGGUAUUCUAACCGUGCAAAGGUAGCGUAAUCACUUGUCUUCUAAAUAAAGACUAGUAUGAACGGCUAAAUGAGGACAAACCUGUCUCAUGCAACCAAUCAGUGAAACUGAUCUCCCAGUACAAAAGCUGGGAUUAACCCAUAAGACGAGAAGACCCUGUGGAGCUUUAAACCAACCACUAACACACGAACCCUACAAACCAUAGUGAUAGGUUUUGAGUUGGGGCGACUUCGGAAUCAACACACCUUCCGAGCUUAAAGGCAACACCUUUCACCAAGGCCAACAAGCCAAAGCAUAUCAAACGACCCAGUUAAACUGAUCAACGAACCAAGUUACCCCAGGGAUAACAGCGCCAUCUUCUUCAAGAGUCCAUAUCGACAAGAAGGAUUACGACCUCGAUGUUGGAUCAGGACACCCAAAUGGUGCAGCCGCUAUUAUAGGUUCGUUUGUUCAACGAUUAACAGUCCUACGU
rnacentral:rRNA from 1 species